AGUGAACGCUGGCGGUAGGCCUAACACAUGCAAGUCGAACGGCAGCACAGUAAGAGCUUGCUCUUACGGGUGGCGAGUGGCGGACGGGUGAGGAAUACAUCGGAAUCUACUUUUUCGUGGGGGAUAACGUAGGGAAACUUACGCUAAUACCGCAUACGACCUACGGGUGAAAGCAGGGGAUCUUCGGACCUUGCGCGAUUGAAUGAGCCGAUGUCGGAUUAGCUAGUUGGCGGGGUAAAGGCCAACCAAGGCGACGAUCCGUAGCUGGUCUGAGAGGAUGAUCAGCCACACUGGAACUGAGACACGGUCCAGACUCCGACGGGAGGCAGCAGUGGGGAAUAUUGGACAAUGGGCGCAAGCCUGAUCCAGCCAUACCGCGUGGGUGAAGAAGGCCUUCGGGUUGUAAAGCCCUUUUGUUGGGAAAGAAAAGCAGCAGGUUAAUACCCCGCUGUUCUGACGGUACCCAAAGAAUAAGCACCGGCUAACUUCGUG
rnacentral:rRNA from 1 species